UGCUGGGUGAGCGGAGAAGGAGCGGAUCGCGGUGUUGACGCGCCUGCCGGCUUGCUUCUAGCCCAGGCGAGGCGCCGUUUGCAACAGUUCCGCGGGGGCCACGCCCCGGGGAAGAAGGCAGAGCCAAGUGCUGCCCGGCGGCAGAGAUCGCGCACCGCCAGGCAACCCGGAGCGCCCGAGGUAUGGAAGAGCCUUGAGAGAGGCUCCCCGCAACGCGCCCAGAGAAUGGGACGGGACGGGGCAGGUGAGUGACUGGACACCUUCAGGGCUGGGCGCACCGCCCUGGGCAAGGCGGGUGGGGUUCGCCUAGGGUUCCCCUUACCCCUCCCGCCCGAGAGCGCCCUCUUGCGUUUCUUGCUCCCUUACGAGUGUCCGUCAAGCGCAGCCGAGAUAUUGGAUCAAUGAAUCAGUGGGUCAAUGAGACUUUGGGGCGAGGCGGGGGGGGGGUCAGGGGAACCCUCGUCUAAUCCCCACUACACCCUAAGUGUUUGGGGUGGCGAUCGCGCGCAGCUGCCCUGCUCGCCUGUGUAUCACCGCGGGGGGGGGGCGAGCUGCGUUGUUCGCAAGAGCGCUGGCUGAUCUGUCAAGGGGGAAGCAAUCUGGGACGGCGAGGAGGAUCUCCCUGGCAUUUCUCGGCUCGGCCCGAGGUGGUUUGCCAUGAAGCAGAGGGAAGAUGCCCUCUGUUUCCUGACCUUCUAUCCCGGGAGACCAGGCUCUCCUCUGGUCAAGUUAUUUUGAGUGAGAAGAACGCGGAGUUUCGGCCGGCGAGUCUUAAAGAAACAGGGGCCUCAUUGUUCCAAGUCUGAUCCAGGCGGGGGGGGGGGGGGAGGCGGCCACUGAGGAGGAAAAUCCGCUUUCUUGCCUCCCUGGUUUGCCCCGCAGUCAAAGGGCCCCGAGUAUCUGUUUCUCCUCUUUUUAGCCAAACAUGAAGGGGAGGGGGGAGAGUCUUCACCCUUUUCAAAAACGCAAACAGGUGGGGUGGGGGGAUAGGACUGCCCUUCAGAGUAUUUUGUGUGCUGCAGGAGGUAACAAAAGAAGGUAAAAAGAUACCUCUUGCUGGACCGUAUUCUCGUGGGUGAAAGUGCGUGAGCAUCAGGGCAGCAUUCAGCUCUUCUGGGGGAGAAAUGAAACGUUUCUCUCAUCGCCACUGCCUGGCGGCGCGAAGCAAAUCCAAGGGAAGGUAUCGCUUUCCAUCUUUUCGGCCGGGUUUCCCACAGUUCCUCAAUUGCCCUUCUCUCCGAGUCACUUGCACCCCCAAGGCUUUAGGGGGCAGCAGACCCUGGGAGAGGAAUGGGUGGUUCUGCAAAGGCUUGAUAGCUUGUUUGCUGUAUUUUUGUAACCAAGCAAAUAGUAAACUUCACAGAAGGUCACCAAGGGUGCACUGCGCAGAGCCAUGCCUGUGCUGGUAUAAUUGUUACACACCAGGCAAUUCCUCCGAGGUAGCUGCUUUCUCUCAGGUUUACAUACUUCCCCUGGCACAGAAUUGGUUACUGGGGGAACGUCCAGCGUACAGUGGCUGGCUGCACCAUGCGUUUGUGUGUCAGCACCCCCAAGUUCUACUCCUCCUUUGAAGAAGAGCUGGGAAAGGAAUAGCCAGAGCUUGUCCCGGAGCCAGUCCUAACAUUAGGCAAAGUGAAACAACUGCCUCAGGUGGCAAAUGCUCAGGGGCGGCAAGCAGGUAUUGGAGGGUGGAGCUGUGUGUGCUACAGGUCCCUGCCCUUGUGUGCUGGCGGAUGCUGUCCUGUCACAAAUGUUGAAGUAAGAUUCAAGAACCUGUCCCUUCAGCUUCUGUACAUGGAAUUGUGGUGUGCAGGGGGCAGGGGCGCCAUCUGAGGGGUUGGGCAGAGGCCGAGGGUCCCCCACAUUUUCAAGUAGGGGCUGAGCCACCUCAAAAUUCCAUGGCAGCCAUGCACACGUCGUGCAUGCAGGUUGUGCGAUGUCCUCGUGUCACUUGUGCAAGUCGCACAGCAUGGACGCAACACAUCAUUUGUCUAUCCUGGCCCAAUGUAGCGUGUGAGACUGUGGAGGGGGCUGCCUAUGAGAAGGGAGAAAGUGAAAAGAGCAGUGUCGCUCACAGGGUUACAGUGUGGGGUAUAGGCAUCCUACUGCAAGAUAUCACAAUGCAGACUUGGGUGUAAGGUGUGGAGCAGGGUAGGGCAAGCAGGGUAGCUUGCCUGACGGGUUAGGCAGAAAAGAACAUUAGAGCCAUUGCUAGGAUGCCUGAGCAGCAAGUAUGUGGUGAUGGUAAAUUCUGAAUCACUGUUCAGAGGCCAAUGAGAUGCUACAUCCCACUCCUUGCAGACAGACAACUGUGGUCUAGUGUGCAUGGGGAGUAUUAAAAUAGGCAGUCUUUCACCUGCCACUGUGAAACGGUGCAAUGCCUGUGAGCAUUCUGGUCAUUUGUUUCUGCCCGCAAGAGAGCUAUUUUACCCUGGUAACAAGGCUGUAAACAGAGGUCUUGCGACGGGAAGUGGCCACCUUAGGGCAGCAUUUCACAAUGCGGGAAAUGGUGAGAGUGUGCCUGUGAGUCAGCUGCAUACCUGGAUUUUGUGCUUUCAGAAUAACAUGGAAACGGAAAACUCAUGAUCUCCCCUAGCAGGGAGAGAGUCGUUCAUUCUGCCUUACCUAUCAGGGAUAUAUGCUUCAGCUUUCCAUGUGCAUGUUAUGCUAGAAAUGGAGGCGGGGGAGAGAUGUGCACUCACUACCUGAGAGAGCUACCUGGACCAGGUAUGGGAAAUGGGGUAAGAAGACUAAAACUCAUAGCUGACCCAAUAAUUUUGCUGCCUGGGGCAAAGGACAAUAUUCCCUCCUCCUCAAUUGCACACACAAAUGCGAACUAGACUAGCAGCUGAAUCCUACUUCAAUGCUUUUGAUGGGGCAGCAUCUCUCACUUCACCCAAGGGCAGCAGGCUAGCUUAGUGGGUAGGGAGAGUGUUGUCAUGCUCACAUAUUGCCUGUGGGCUUCCUGUGGGCAUCAACAUGUUGACCAUGUUGAGAACAGAAUGAUGGACUAGAUGGGGCUUUGGUUUGAUCCAGCAGGGCUUUUCUUGUGCGCUAAUGGGGUGCAGCCCAGGUUGCAUGACACACACACAGCUCUCUCCUCCAGCACCUUGCUGCCACUCUACUUGACACCUGUAUGCUACCUGCAGAAAGUAAUGCUGUGUUGCAGCAACUGCACCAAUACAUAUCACAUGAUUGGAGUAAUGCAUGUGUGAUGCCUGUGGGAGUUCAUGGCCUGGGCUGUGUGGUGCCUCUUUGCCUGCUCACAGUUGUGCUGUCUGUGACACAUUGGGAGAAGGAGCCCAGUGCGACACAGCAAUCAUUCCCACUACUGGGAUCUUACUUCUGCCAGCUCAGGAAGGGUGGUUGCUGCUGCCACCAUCCAGUAUCCACUGCUUGAGGCAACCGCCUCAAUCGGCAUAAUGUUAGGGCCGGCUCAGAGACUGUAAACAAAGGGAUCACAGACUGCCUUGUGAAUGCUAUGGAUCUAAUCUAAAAUCCUGUGCCUAACAGCAGCCUGAGUCAGAUGCUUCAAAGGAAAUGGUACAACAAAAGCACAUUUGUGAAGCAAGCCAUCCGUUGUCAGGCAUAUGAUUUUAGCAGCUAGAAAAUUUGGGGUCUGUGUCCCUCCCAGAAAAGUGUACCUUAACAGAUAUUGUUUUGGCUUGACUACCAUGAAUUUGUCUCAAUUUUUAGGGGAAACUCAUUAGUACUGUACUAAUUUACAUCCUGUGAUCCCAUGACGAAUACAAAUCUACAGUUUAAUCAUGACUCUUCUGGAAAAACAAAAAACAAUUUUGCUCCUGGCCAAAAUAGUGCAGGUUUCUGUUCACACCAACAGAGGUAUGGCUGCUGCUCUUUGCCGCUUUUACAUUUCCCAGGGAAUCAGGCACUAAUUUUAAUAAGCUGCUUUAUGAGUUUGGAAUUGUCACUGGACCUUUAAGGACAAUAGCCUGGAGAGGAAAAGCUGACAUCACUGCUCAGGAAGAGUCCAGGGAGGGACCCUAUUCCGGCUCAAGGUAUUUUAAUUGUUCCAGCACUGCCGAGAUAAAAUCAAUGUCUCCUGAACAGGUUCCAAAGCACCACAGCUUCCGUUUACACACAAUGGCAAAAGCAUAACAUUAUAAUAACACAAGUAGCGGCUGGCUUGGCUAAAAGAUGGGAGGUUGUCAAGAGAUACAAAUAAGAAGCAAUUUAGCUUUUAGAAAUCUAGGUCUGAGGUCUUAAAAGCUCAGGAUUAAGCUGUCCCAGUGUAGAUCAGAACAAUGUAAAAUACAACUUUAAAAACACCUUUAAACAAAUUGCAAUCGCAACUAGGGUGGGUCCUGAAUUUAUUUAUAUCUCUCAAGUAUCAAAGGCAAGGGUUAAGAGGUGUGUAUCUUCAGCAUAGGAUGAAAGCUGUACAAUGAAAGUGUCAGACACACCUCUGUGAUGACUGAACUCCACAAUGUAGGGGCAGCCACAGAGAACUCUCUCUCAUGGGUCAACCCCACGCCUGAGCUUCUGAGGGUGGAGGACCUUAACACCCAAGAGGGUGUUAAUAUCUUUCAGAUAUUCGGGACUGAAGUCAUUUAUUUAUAUAAGUAAAAUGACACGCAGUUACAGCAGAUAAAUGUUGUAAAUACAUUACACACACACACACACACACACACACACACACACACACACACACAUAUAUAUAUAUAUAUAUAUAUAUAUAUAUAUAUAUAUAUAUAUAUAUAUAUAUAUGAGCACCAGUUUGAGGUUGUGCCUAUCUGCCCCUGGAAUCUACUAGAAAGAGUUUCUACAUGGUACAUUCUAGUCCAGGGAUUUCCAAACUGUGUGCCAAGACAUGCCUUAAAAAAGUUAAGCCAGUGUUUUGGAUCCAUCCACCACUCUCUGCCUGUUGAAACACAGAGGCCCCAAGCAGCAUUGAUCCUCCCUCUUUCUGCCCAUACAUGGGCAGUGGCAUCUUUCCAAGGGAAUGAGUCUCCCUGACAGGCAUGAGAGAAUUCCAGAAACAUCACCAUUGCCCAGGAAGUCUGGCCUCAUCCCGAACCCUCGAGUAAAGGGGAAGAGUGGACAGUGUUGGGAGCAAUAUUGAUCAUUAGGUUACCCUCCAGCUGCAAGGAUGCCUGCGCAUCAUUCUAGGAGCAGACCAACAAAAUAUAUACGUCUCUCUCUCUCUCUCUCUCUGUCUCUCUCUCUCUCUGUCUCUCACAUUCAUAUUUUAUUGAAAAAAAAAUCAAAUAUAAAGCAGUAAAGUGAUACAAAAAGAAGAAGAAAAGGGGAAAGGAACAAAACACAGAACUGUGUAAAGGGAAAAAAACAUUAAAUGAAUAUAUACAAAAAACACCCUAACCCAUACAUUCUUUUAUAAAUUUGAUAUUAUCCUAAUAGAAAUAUUAAUAGUCUACUACAUUUUGUAUAAAUUUGUUCCAAAUACAGUAUUGUCAUAUUUAUCCAAGCAGAGUCUAUGUCUGUAAGCAGUUCGUUUGUAGGUUGCAAGUGUUAUCAUAUUAUCAAUCCAAUCUUUACUCUUCCAGUUCAUCAAUAUCAGCCUCUUGGCUACCACUAGAGCAUAUCUCUCUUGAGUGCAAGGGUAAAUUGUGCCUCUAAUCCAUUAAAAAAACCCAAAUACCCUAUUCCAGGUUACAAAAGCUUCAGAAACACAGUUCCAAUCCUUGUUUCCUUUUUUCCAUACUGUCAGAAGGUCACUACAUAGCUGACAGAGAGGAAGUAGCGCACACUUGUUAUUGUUUAGUCGUUUAGUCAUGUCCGACUCUUCAUGACUCCAUGGACUAGAGCACGCCAGGCACUCCUGUCUUCCACUGCCUCCCGCAGUUUAGUCAAACUCAUGUUGGUGGCUUCGAGAACACUGUCCAACCAUCUCGCCCUCUGUCGUCCCCUUCUCCUUGUGCCCUCCAUCUUUCCCAACAUCAGGGUCUUUUCCAGGGAGUCUUCUCUUCUCAUGAGGUAGCCAAAGUAUUGGAGCCUCAGCUUCAGGAUCUGUCCUUCCAGUGAGCACUCAGGGCUGAUUUUCUUAAGAAUAGAUAGGUUUGAUCUUCUUGCAGUCCAUGGGACUCUCAAGAGUCUCCUCCAGCACCUUAUUUCAAAAGCAUCAAUUCUUCGGCAAUCAGCCUUCUUUAUGGUCCAGCUCUCACUUCCAUACAUCACUACUGGGAAAACCAUAGCUCCUUCUUCAUGGCGAAGGGGCUUGAAUAACUCAGAGAAGCUAUGAGUGAGCUAUGCCGUGCAGGGCCACCCAAGAUGGACAGGUCAUAGUGGAGAGUUUUGACUAAACGUGAUCCACCUGGAGCAGGAACUGGCAAGCCACUCCAGUAUCCCUGCCAAGAAAACUCCAUGGACAAAGACAACAAACACACACUAGCCAUUUGUUUUGGACUCUGGACUUCUGGGAAUGCCCAUUUUAGAUUAUUAUGACUUUGCUCACUUCAAAAUGUAACAAGACAGCCCUUCUGUGUUUGGGGGAACCUCUUGCUCCUUCUGGGAAAGGGGGGUAAAGGAGAAUCCAGGGCUUGUCUGCAGAGUGGAAGGAAUAGAGGACCUUUUUCUGCCUCCCCACUUCCAGCCACUCUCUGAAGACUGCAGAAGGGACCUUUCUUAAGAAUAUUAGUGGGGAGGGAAGCAUGGCUUUGUUUUUUGAAGUAUUGAGAUGAGGACUAGACCAUGUCAAAAAUAAACAUAAGAUUUUAGCUGCAGUUCAUUCAUUUUCAGUUUCUAACACUGGUUUGGGAGCUGUUUUUUCCAAUGGGUUUAUCCCACAGUGGGGCAGUACCAUUUGAACCCCAGGACCACAUGGAUGGGACCAGGUGUGUGGGUCCUCCCCCCAUCACAGAAUCAAAACCCUUCCAGGAGGAUAGGUAACCAUUCCAAGGAAAGGCCUUCAUGCUUAGCCCUGCCCAGGUUGUGGUGAGUAAUAUCUGUACUAUGGGCUCACUCACUCCUUGAAAAAUGCCUCCUGUGGUGCUGACAUAAUGUCUAAAGGCCACCUUAGCAAGAGUGUGGUUACUUCUCUGAGCUGUGUUAACAGCAAAGAUGGAGCUAAUCACUGUUUGCAAGGGAUUUGGAGGCAAUUCUUUGUUUGCAUUUGGUCUGGUUGCUUCAGAAACCCUAUCAGCGUAUGAGAGUGCCUACGUAACCAACACAGGGAUGGCUGAGGGAGACACCUCAAUACGAGUGGCAGGGAGUGGUUGGCUCUGCACUGAAGAUCGAUAGGGCAAACUUAGAAGAAGAAGAAGAAGAAGAAGAAGAAGAAGAAGAAGAAGAAGAAGAAGAAGAGGAGGAGGAGGAGGAGUUUGGAUUUGAUACCCCACUUUAUCACUAUCCGCAGGAGUCUCAAAGCGGCUAACAUUCUCCUUUCCCUUCCUCCCCCACAAGAAACACUCUGUGAGGUGAGUGGGGCUGAGAGACUUCAGAGAAGUGUGACUAGUGCAAGGUCACCCAGCAGCCGCAUGUGGAGGAGCGGAGACAUGAACCCGGUUCCCCAGAUUACGAGUCGACCGCUCUUAACCACUACACCACACUGGCUCUCCUUCUUCCUGACUUCCUUACAGGAGAGGAGAAUGUGUGGCACUCCAGAUAUUGUUGGACUACAGCUGCCACCAUCCCUGACCAUUGGCCAUGCUGGCUGGGGCUGAAGGGAGUUGGAGCCCGACAACAUUUAGGGUGGUAGUCAAUGCUAGUCUUAGGUACAGUAGACGCCCAGCCUAGCACUUGUGUGUUCAACCUUUGCGUUUCAUGUCUUUUUGCAGCUACUGGAAAGGGACUAGGUUUAGGAGAUUAUAAAUGCCUUCCUAGCACAGGGAAUGGUUCCAGCUGCCAGGAAGGAAGAAUAUGUAAGACCACUCCUGAAGAAUGCCUCCUUCGAUUCACAGGAUUAUAAUACGAAUCAGCUGCAAAUGUUUCUUCCUUGGGCUAGGUGUUCGAGUCAGUGAUUGAUGGCCAAUGCAAGCGCUAAAUUAUGUGUCUGGAUAGGUUUGCUGGAACAGACGAGUUUUUAGCAAGCAUCUAAAACAGUAUAGUGAAGGGGUGCCUGCCUAGUGUCAAUAGUUCCAGAGGGCAGGUGUUGCAAUGCUAAAUGAGUGACUUCCUGCAAAUCGGAAUUAUAUAUUGAAAGAGAAGCCCAAACAAACCCUAAUCUGUUGUGAAAAUUGUAACAACGUAUGCUGCUUAAUCUGUCAGAUCAACCUCCCCCAACCUGUUGUCCACCAGCUGUUUGGACUGUGUACACACCAUACAUUUGAAGCACCCCCAAAGAAUUAUGGGAACUGUAGUUUACCCCCUCACAGUGCUAUAAUUCCCAGCAUCUACAGUUCCUAGGAUUAUACAAGUGGGAAGAUGUGCUUUUGUUCGAUAUUGUUGAAAAUAUUAUUAUUGUAAUUUUGUAAUAAGGAAAAUGCUUAUACAUUGUAUAUGGCUUUGAGGAUUUUGUAAACUACUUUGAGGUUUUAUUACAAUCAAGUGAGAUGAUAGAUAGAUAGAUAGAUAGAUAGAUAGAUAGAUAGAUAGAUAGAUAUUAAAAAAUGAAUAGAAGAAAGGGGAAAAACACUUAAAGCAAAAAUGAAAUAAAAGAAAGAAAUCUAAGUAUCAUAUAAGCUCACAGAAAGAAAGGUUUACACUCUCAAGUCUUACAUCACAUAUUAUUAGCAGCAUUGUUAAUGUCUAGAAAUCUGGGGGGGGGGAGUAUCAAAAAUCUAUCCCAAAAUAUCUUUCCAUGAUGAAGCGUGAGUCAGUGGUGGGCUCCAGCAAUGUUCCUUUUGAGCCACAUAAGUUAUAAAGCUGUAAGUUACGAAGCUUAAAUGUCCUCCUGUCCGCUUCAACCAACAGGCUAUAUAUAUCCAGGCCCAGAUUUGGACAUCCUGCUGCCUGAAUCUGGUCAGUAGUAGCUGUCCUUUCUCAUACCAGCAACUUAGCACUUGGAGGAGAGUCAUGCUGCUCACUGUGACUCCACAGUGCCCCCAGUGACAAGUGUGGUGUGAUUAAAGUCACCAGGCUAUUUUGGGGGGUGGGGUUGGACAACGUACAGGUGCAGUGGUAUAGCAGUGUCUUCCUCAGAACCCUUGGUUGCUGAUAAGAGGAGGAGAGCACUCAACCCUUUGGCCUCUGGGUCUCGAUCCUUACCGACAUUCAAGAAAGAAUAUUGUUCUGUGAUGCCACACCUGUAUGGUAAUAAGCUCCAGUGACCAGCAGGGGCACAAACUAAUGAUGACAUCAGCCCACACAGCUACCAGAAGCCUCCAGGUCAGAAGAGGUGGACACUCAUACUCUUUGGCGUUGUCCUCUUAGCAAGAGAACUCGUGUUAGGAGCUCUGGAAGAGACGUGCAACUGCAGCGCAGAAGUUGAUUUCCAGGAACUGCAGACCAAAUUGGCUCCUGAGA